AUCCAACUGAGGAGUCCCAAAUAGGACGAAAAGCGCUUCAAACUGGAU
rfam:Schistosoma mansoni strain Puerto Rico chromosome 1, complete genome